AGAGUUUGAUCCUGGCUCAGGAUGAACGCUAGCGGCAGGCCUAAUACAUGCAAGUCGAGCGGCAAGUCGAGGAGUAAUCUAAGACCUAGAGCGGCGCACGGGUGCGUAACGCGUAUGCAACCUACCUCAUACAGGGGGAUAGCCCGGAGAAAUCUGGAUUAAUACCCCAUGGUACUGUGACAAGGCAUUUUGUUAUAGUUAAAGAUUCAUCGGUAUGAGAUGGGCAUGCGUCUGAUUAGCUAGUUGGCGGUGUAACGGACCACCAAGGCGACGAUCAGUAGGGGUUCUGAGAGGAAGGUCCCCCACACUGGCACUGAGAUACGGGCCAGACUCCUACGGGAGGCAGCAGUAGGGAAUAUUGGGCAAUGGACGAGAGUCUGACCCAGCCAUGCCGCGUGCAGGAAGACGGCGUUCUGCGUUGUAAACUGCUUUUAUCUGGGAAGAAAAGGCCCAUGCGUGGGACAUUGCCGGUACCAGAUGAAUAAGCACCGGCUAACUCCGUGCCAGCAGCCGCGGUAAUACGGAGGGUGCAAGCGUUGUCCGGAUUUAUUGGGUUUAAAGGGUGCGUAGGCGGCUAUUUAAGUCAGUGGUGAAAGACUCCGGCUCAACCGGAGCAGUGCCAUUGAUACUGGACAGCUUGAGUGUUGGAGGGGUACAUGGAAUUGAUGGUGUAGCGGUGAAAUGCAUAGAUACCAUCAGGAACACCGAUAGCGAAGGCAUUGUACUGGCCAACAACUGACGCUGAGGCACGAAAGCAUGGGGAGCGAACAGGAUUAGAUACCCUGGUAGUCG
rnacentral:rRNA from 1 species